UUGCUUUAGCAGCACUAAAAUUGGAACGAUAGAAGAUUGGCAAGGCCUCUGUGCAAGAAUGAUACACAAUUCAUGAAGCAGUCCAUAUUUUA
rnacentral:snRNA from 1 species